rnacentral:rRNA from 1 species
GACGAACGCUGGCGGCGUGCUUAACACAUGCAAGUCGAACGGUAAGGCCCUUCGGGGUGCACGAGUGGCGAACGGGUGAGUAACACGUGGGUGAUCUGCCCUGCACUUCGGGAUAAGCCUGGGAAACUGGGUCUAAUACCGGAUAGGACCACUGCCUGCAUGGGUGGUGGUGGAAAGCUUUUGCGGUGUGGGAUGGGCCCGCGGCCUAUCAGCUUGUUGGUGGGGUGAUGGCCUACCAAGGCGACGACGGGUAGCCGGCCUGAGAGGGUGACCGGCCACACUGGGACUGAGAUACGGCCCAGACUCCUAGGGGAGGCAGCAGUGGGGAAUAUUGCAAAAUGGGCGCAAGCCUGAUGCAGCGACGCCGCGUGAGGGAUGACGGCCUUCGGGUUGUAAACCUCUUUCAGCACCGACGAAGCGCAAGUGACGGUAGGUGCAGAAGAAGGACCGGCCAACUACGUGCCAGCAGCCGCCGUAA